rnacentral:lncRNA from 1 species
GGGCAUUUGAAAACCAUGGGGCUGACUCUCAACUGGGAAGCUCCUCCCAGCUGCAGAGAGAUUUAUAAUACUGGUGUCCCUCAGCAAAAGGCUCUGACAUCAAGGCAGAAUCCCAGAGAUCCUGCAUGCCAUGUACAGAAAGAGAGGAAAGUGCUGCGAGAUGCGGCCCCAAGGGCACGCUGCUAAUCGAAAGGUUGGCCUCCCGCCCCGCUGCUAAAAAAGUUUGUGUAUGACAAAAUCAGCCUCUAUCAUCACCACUGCUGGAGGGCUUCAGAUGGAUCCUUCCUCCAAGGAGGAGUGCGAGAGUGGCCCAUGAGUCCCUUCAGAGGUCGGAGGGCACUGGUGGAGACCCCUCAGUGCUGUCAACACGGAGAGAGGAGCUUAGUGCCAACUCUUGUUCUCACAAUGUGAUUUUUGUGUUUCGAAAGCUUGAAUUAUCCUUGAUGCUAUCGGUGUGUGUUUUAUAUUCCAUGAUGGUGUUGGGAGGUAGGUUGAGCACUCUUCGUAACGUGUCGCGUAUCCGGGCUGUCGUGGCCUGGUCGCUGGCUGUCUUGUUCCAUAUCGAGAUAAUAUCCUCCUGGAAUCGGACAGAGACGACCGCCCCACAGAUUUCUUCGCCCACCAUGAACUGCUCUCCAAGCAUCGCCAGAAUGAGAUUCUCCCAACAUCGUGAUGCUAAGCCCUUCCGCAGACGGAUAAUCCAUUUACCACCAUUUUUGUUGGCAUCAUCCUCCCACAUGGGUUUGAUGCCCUCUUUGAAAAGAUGGAAGUCACUAUGGCCUGUCAGGUCCCCAGGACGUACCAUGUGACUGUAAAACCGCCAGAACUGCUCCACUGAGGCAAAGGUGCCAAUCUGUUUGAUGUUCUGUUCAUAACUCUGCGAGCUGGUAGGCCUCCCAGGUGUUCGUCUGGAGUACCAGAAAGUGUAAUUAUACUGCAAGGGGUGCUCAGCUGGUCCUGGGACAACUGCCUUCCUCUUGGUGGUACUCUGUGGUUUCUCUCGAUCAUUCUUUUCCUUCUCACUGUCUUUCUGUGUGUUAUUCUCCUCAUUCUGGUCAUGGUCUCCACUAUCAUCAUCUUUCAAUGCGUCGAAUUUGUUGUUCAUCGUCGCUCGCUGCCGCCACCCCCGUCCACCUCAGCGACUUCCGCUUCGCCGAGUCCGCUCUCCAAAGCCUUCCGCCACUUCCUGCGGCGACAGCGACGCCAUGCUCCCCGCCCCGGCAUCAUGGGGGCGGAGCGCGGCGGAAGUGGAAAAAAGACACUUCCGGUUGCCAUCUUGGUCCUUGUGUGCAGUAGCACGGGGUGGGCUGGGGGUGUCUUGCAGCUGUUCCUGGCUCCAUUCUGCAGCACAGAAAUGAGGAUUCAAGAAGGCAGAAUACGUGUAGGCUUUUAUUUAGGAACUCACGAUGCCCAAUACAGCUUGCACUGCAGGACUGGGGCAGCUGAAUCAGCUCGAUUUUCCCUAUGACACUGCCAUGAGCAAGGACAGUGACACAUAAAAGUGCAGAUGUGUGCAUUUCUCACUUCCAGAUACACCAUCGUUUAGAGGAAAAGCUAUCAUAAAGCGAUAGUGGUGGCAUCUGAGCCAGUUGUGAAGAAAUCUGUGGUCACUUGGAACAUGUUGGUGCCUGAAUAUAGAUUGUGGGUCAUCCUUUGCCUGCAGAUAUAAGGGAGGUGAUGAGCUUUGAGAAUCUUUUGAUACUGUAACAGAUUUCCAGCAAGAGAGAUUUAUCCAUACGUGCAUAUCCACAGAAUCCAUACUGAGUUGGUGAAAUUGGAAAGACAGCAGCUCUGUAGCUCUACUAGAAAAAUAAUCUUACUGACUGAGGAAUGUAGUGCACAAUCAGCUUUAUUCCAGUCUAGGGUGGAACAACAUUACUAUCUCUGUGGUGACUGCCAAGGAACACCAGUAAGUACUUAGACAAAGUACUGGGCUUUUGAAGUGCAAUUAAAACAGAUAAAUAACAGCCUCUCAGAAGAAAGAGGAGGAGGAUGUGGGAAGACAGCUGGAAAAUAUCUGAACUACAAAUAUUUUAAAUAUGUUGCAGCUGCACAAGAGACAAAUACUCAUUACCUUUAAUUUCCUGAGCGAAUUAUGCAUCAUUGAGGAUCCGUGACUCUCCAGGCACCCAGCUCUUCUGGUGGUUCCUGGUCUCACCCUUAUUAAGUGUUUGCAGAUCCUGCAAGUAUGUUAGUGCCAACAGCAGUCUCAUUAACACAGGGCUGAAGCACUUCGACGGUAGUGGGAAGGUUCCUUACAGCUGCGUGUGGAAAUACAAGCUCAAGGAACACUAUGACAUCUUGGCUUCAUAGCUUCAUUUAGAGCCUGAACUGUCACAGCUGAGCCAUGUCUUACCAUGUCUGUGAUCCAGGUGUAUUACUUAUCUGACUAUAGGAAAUAAAUGCCCACAUAAUAUUUUUUUUCAGUUUAUUGGAGGCAAGACCUGUGAAGGAUGACCAUUAGCAUACAGGUGUUUAUCAGAUCACUUGCUCUCCUGUACCAACUUUGAGAUUUGUGGCAUUUAAAUAUCUUUGGAUACAAUUCUUCUUGUUUUCUAAGUGAAGCCUUGCCCAAAAUGACAUUUCCUAUAUUGAUGUAAACAACAAAAUCAUAAACACUGCUUUUAUUACCUUCCUGUGCUUAUUUGUUUUCCAAUUGUUCAGCUGCCUUUUUCAGCAUAUCAUUAGUCACACAAGGAACUGCCUUCAUUGUUAAAAUAGAAAUUAUAGUUGUAAUUAACACUAGCAGCCAUUAGAUGGUAAUGUUUGCUCACCGUUGCACUGAGCAUUAUGCUUGCCAAAUCUCACUCAGUGAGGCAGUUGAGCCAAACUCUUCAAACAAUAGGCACUAUUUGGGGUAUCUCAUUUGACGUGGGUAGAACAUCAUGAGUGGCCUUCAAAGUACUCAGAUAGUACUGAUAGUUGCUAGAGUUCAGGUUCUUCAUAAUUCUGCACCCAUAAAUCAGAGACCAGUUUUGAACUCUUCAACUCUGGGUAGUUGAGAAAGACUUAAUUGCAAGGAGGGAGGGAAGAAAAGGUGGUGUUAUCUUGCACAAAGGAUUAGGAUUUCAGAUAGCAACAGCAUCAGUUAGAACUUGUGACUGUAUGGGGUAGGAGAUAAGAAUUUCUGAACAUCUGUUCCAGGGAUGAAUAAAGAUGAUAUUUGCACAUGGUUUUUGAUCUUAUAUAUGUAUACAUAAUACCAAAACUUAUGCAACUAUAUACAUACACGUAUGUAACUGUUUACACAAAAUAUGUGACCU